AAAGUGGAAGAGGAAAGAGUUACCCCAGCGAGAACCGGGAACCGGGCCGCAGACUCUCCGGCCCCGGGGAGGGAUGAGUUUCACUCUGGUUGCCCAGGCUGGAGUGCAAUGGCGCGAUCUCGGCUCACGGCAACCUCUGCCUCCCGGAUUCAAGCGAUUCUCCUGCUUCAGCCUCCCGAGUAGCUGGGAUUACAGAUAUGCUCUAACUUAUCCCCAAAGGACGUGCAUUUGGGUCAUUUUCAAUCUUCUGCUAUGGUAAGUAACACUUCAGCAAAUAAAUAUUUGCUCAUCACUGUCUCUCUUAUAUAAACUCCUGGGCAUGGAAUUUCAGGUCAAAGAAUGUGCUUGCUCUGAAAUGUAAUGGAUUUUGCCAAAUUGCUAUUCACAGAAGAUAUACCCACUUACACUGCCCCAAAGCCUACAUUUUUCUCACUUUAGUUUGGUCACAUUGUCCUGGUUGGAUACUUUCUGUCUCCUGUAUCUCAUAGUUGGAGAUAUCCUAACCAUGGCCUCCUGGGGACACUGUGCAGUUUCCUUUCUGCCCAUCCUGCUGCCUCCACCCCUAAUCCAAACAACCCCUCAUAUCUGUGUAUGUCAGAGGACUUUCCACACAGCAUCUCAUUUGAUCCUAUCUUGUGGAGUAGGAAGGAAAACCAUAUCAGCACAGUCUGGGGUAUGAGGACUGGAGGUGAAACAACUGGCCCAGGGUCCUAGGAUGGAAGGAGAGCCUCCUUGCUGAGCACUUUCCCACCAUACACCAUUGUCCAAAGAUGGCCUCCUAAGUCUGGGAAGGGUAGUACCAAGGAGGUAUAUCAGUUGGAAGUGAUGCCACUAACACACUAACACUUACUGAAAACACUGAUGUGGGCCAGAGACUGGGGAUAUAGAGGUGGACAAAACCUCCUCCCUGCCUCCGGGAGCAUGCAGAGAUGGGAGUGCAAUGUGGGGUGGUUCCCAGGCAGCAUGGGGAGCCAUCUAUAUAAGCUGAGAUUGGAAGGAUGAAUGAGGGUUGGCCAGACUAAGGAAUGGCAUUU
rnacentral:antisense_RNA from 1 species